ensembl:ncRNA C09D8.2 ncRNA
UGAUAAUGAUCAAAAGACAAGACAUCUCUCAACACAAAAGACGACAACACCGGGGAAGAAGAAUCAUCGAAAUUUGUGGCCGGGUGUCAUAAAAAUGAGAAAUUGCUGGUCAUCGGGUGUCGUCGUAUGCCUGCACACAUAAAGCACACAUGUCGGGAAGGCGCCUAGAUGACGACCGACAUCUUCCAGAUGACCUCCAAUUACUAGUG